rnacentral:rRNA from 1 species
CCUACGGGGGGCAGCAGUGGGGAAUAUUGGACAAUGGGGGCAACCCUGAUCCAGCCAUGCCGCGUGUGUGAAGAAGGCCCUCGGGUUGUAAAGCACUUUCAGUGAGGAAGAACGCCUGGUGGUUAAUACCCAUCAGGAAAGACAUCACUCACAGAAGAAGCACCGGCUAACUCCGUGCCAGCAGCCGCGGUAAUACGGAGGGUGCGAGCGUUAAUCGGAAUUACUGGGCGUAAAGCGCGCGUAGGUGGCUUGAUAAGCCGGUUGUGAAAGCCCCGGGCUCAACCUGGGAACGGCAUCCGGAACUGUCAAGCUAGAGUGCAGGAGAGGAAGGUAGAAUUCCCGGUGUAGCGGUGAAAUGCGUAGAGAUCGGGAGGAAUACCAGUGGCGAAGGCGGCCUUCUGGACUGACACUGACACUGAGGCGCGAAAGCGUGGGUAGCAAACAGGAUUAGAUACCCGUGUAGUC